rnacentral:ribozyme from 1 species
AAAGUUUUUUUUUUUUUUUUUUUUUUUUUUUUUUUUUUGUUGCCUUUC